UACAAUUGGGAGGUUUAGAUUAAAGAAGGCCUUUUCAGGUGUGGUUAACCACAGAGUGAGGACGCGAGCUCUAAGCUGGACUUGGCAGCAGAAGAGAGAAGGGACAACUGCAGAUAAAUAACCCCAAGUGAGGCUGAUGUCAACAUUCAGCUGCUGGGCAGGAUGGAGGAGCCCAACCCUGUGAAGGACGCUUAGAGGUGAAACUGGUUUUAGUAAGGAGAUGGCAAGAUCAGUUCCAAGCCUGCUGAGUUGUGAUUCUAAUCAAUGACUGAUAAUAUUUAAUAUGUGUUGAGUGCUCGCUCUGUGCCUGGCAACGUUCUAAGCAUUUAAGUGCAUCGCCUCACAGCUACCAUGCGAGGAAGCUGCUAAUAUUGCCCUCAUUCGAGAUAGACUGGGAGCUAAGAGGUGAAGCCGUCUGCUCAGUGUCUUCCAGUUCCCAAGGAGCAGCGCUGUCCCUCAACUCCAAGUGUUUCUGAUGCCAGGGCCAUUAAUCAUUAAGUAGUUGUUGUGUGCAUGCUGCUGCUGCUGCUAAGUCGCUUCAGUUGUGUCCGACUCAGUGCGAUCCCAUAGACGGCAGCCCACCAGGCUCCCCCGUCCCUGGGAUUCUCCAGGCAAGAGUACUGGAGUGGGGUGCCAUUGCCUUCUCCGUUAAAUCGCUUUAAUUGUGUCUGACUAUUUGUGACCUUGUGGACCAUAGCGCACCAGACUCCUCUGUCCAUGAGAUUCUCCAGACAAGAAUAAUGGAGUGGGUUGCCAUGACCUCCUCCAGGGGAUCUUCCCAACCCAGGGAUCAAACCUGCUUCUCUUAUGUCUCCUGCUUUGGCAGCCCAGUGGAAAAGAAUCCAUCUGCCAAUGCAGGGGACAUGGGUUCGAUCCCUGGUCCAGGAAUAUUCCACAUGCUGAGGGGCAAUUAAGCCCAUGGACCAUAACUACUGAGCCGUACUCUGGAGGCCUCGAGCCACAACCACUGAGCCCAGGUACUGCAGCUACUGAAGCCAGCACCCCAGAGCCCAUUUUCUGUAACAAGAGAAGCCACUGCAAUGGAAAGCCUGCACACUGCGAUGAAGAGUAGCCCAGCUCACCGCAACUAGAGGAAGCCUGCAUGCACCAAUGAAGACCCAGUGCGACCAAAAAUAAAAUUUAAAUUAAAUUCUCUGUGCUUCAGUUUUCAUAACCAUGAAAAGGGGACCAUCAUACCUAUUAUGUAGGGUUGUUAUGAGGCUGAAAUGAGAUAAUGUUGCAAAGUACUUCGUAUAUAGUAGGUACGCGUAAAUGAUGCUUAGUCUUACCUAACAACUCUCUUUCCUUUGGAGAUAAGAACUAACUUGUUUUGUGCAGUACUGUGCUGUGUGCUGCUUCCUGGCUACAGACUGUCUACAUG
ensembl:lncRNA